AGCGAACGCUGGCGGCAGGCCUAACACAUGCAAGUCGAACGAACUCUUCGGAGUUUGUGGCGGACGGGGGUGUCGCACGACGGAACGUGCCUUUUUGUUUGGAAUAACUCUGGGACACUUGUGCUAAUACCGAAUGUGCCCUUCUGCGGAAAGAUUUAUCGCCAUUCGAGGGGCCCGAGUCGGAUUCGCUUGUUGGUGAGGUAAUCGCUCACCACGGCGACGAUCAGUAGCUGGUCUGAGAGAAUGGCCAGCCACACUGGGAGUGAGACACGGCCCAGACUCUUCCGGGAGGCGGCAGUGGGGAAUCUUGCGCAAUGGGCUAAAGCCUGACGGAGCCAGGCCGCGUAAAUGAUGAAGGUCUUGAAGUUGUAAAAUUCUUUCACCGGGGACGAUAAUGACGGUACCCGGAGAAGAAGCCCCGGCUAACUUCGUG
rnacentral:rRNA from 1 species